AUUGAACGCUGGCGGCAUGCUUUACACAUGCAAGUCGAACGGUAACAGGCCGCAAGGUGCUGACGAGUGGCGAACGGGUGAGUAAUGCAUCGGAACGUGCCCAGUCGUGGGGGAUAACGCAGCGAAAGCUGCGCUAAUACCGCAUACGAUCUAUGGAUGAAAGCGGGGGACCGUAAGGCCUCGCGCGAUUGGAGCGGCCGAUGUCAGAUUAGGUAGUUGGUGGGGUAAAGGCUCACCAAGCCAACGAUCUGUAGCUGGUCUGAGAGGACGACCAGCCACACUGGGACUGAGACACGGACCAGACUCCUACGGGAGGCAGCAGUGGGGAAUUUUGGACAAUGGGCGCAAGCCUGAUCCAGCAAUGCCGCGUGCAGGAAGAAGGCCUUCGGGUUGUAAACUGCUUUUGUACGGAACGAAAAGGCUCUGGUUAAUACCCGGGGCUAAUGACGGUACCGUAAGAAUAAGCACCGGCUAACUACGUGCCAGCAGCCGCAGUAACAC
rnacentral:rRNA from 1 species